rnacentral:rRNA from 1 species
CAGCAGCCGCGGGAAUACGUAGGUGGCAAGCGUUGUCCGGAAUUAUUGGGCGUAAAGGGCUCGCAGGCGGUUUCUUAAGUCUGAUGUGAAAGCCCCCGGCUCAACCGGGGAGGGUCAUUGGAAACUGGGAAACUUGAGUGCAGAAGAGGAGAGUGGAAUUCCACGUGUAGCGGUGAAAUGCGUAGAGAUGUGGAGGAACACCAGUGGCGAAGGCGACUCUCUGGUCUGUAACUGACGCUGAGGAGCGAAAGCGUGUGGAGCGAACAGGAUUAGAUACCCCGGUAGUCCCUGUCUCUUAUAC